UACAUGUGGGGCAAGCGUUGUUCGGAAUUACUGGGCAUAAAGGGUGCGUAGGCGGCUUGUUAAGUCAGGGGUGAAAGUUUUCGGCCCAACCGGAAAAUUGCCUUUGAUACUGGCGAGCUCGAGUGCGUGAGGGGUAACCGGAACGAGCAGUGUAGCGGUGAAAUGCGUAGAUAUUGCUCGGAAGGCCAACGGCGAAGGCAGGUUACUGGGCUAGUUCUGACACUGAGGCACGAAAGCGUGGGGAUCAAACGGG
rnacentral:rRNA from 1 species